rnacentral:tRNA from 1 species
GUGGGUGUAGAUCAGGGGUAGAUCCCCAGAUUGUGGAUCUGGUUGUCGCGGGUUCGAAUCCCGUCAUCCACC